rnacentral:snoRNA from 1 species
UGUAUGGGGGGGAAAUAGGGACAGAAGGGAUUUCUGAAAGGCUUAUUUAAUUAUCUACA